CUGCUUGGUUGGAACUUCUCGAUCGUGCCCUUCUUGUUGUAAAUACGGCAAAGCACCCAAUCAUCUAACUGCAUAAUCGGAAACCAACGUAAGAUUAAUUUAAUCUCGCAGGCGGUGGCAGGUUUUUAGAAAAAGAAAGAAAAGGAGUUGGGUGAUAGGUAAGAGGACACGUGUCGCACUAGCAACUAUGGUGCGCGCGUGUGGAGGUCACUGCUUACGACACUGGUUUUGGAGGGAAGUGUGGGGCCCACGGCGUCCAUGGUGUUAGCAUGAGAUUUGACUUUUUGUAGCAGAAAUUGAACAGUGGAUGGAAGGUACACGUGGGUUACGAAUGUGCACUCGCGUUGGAUCAUCAUCUCGCGUGAUUUAUGAUUUGUAGCUUUUCUUCUACCACAUAUGGCCCCACCUCACCGCGUAAUCUCUAGCGCAGAUCCUCUUGCACAUUCUUUUUUCCUUUUCAUUUAUCGUUUAGCUUUUACGUAUUGUAAUUUUUUUUAGUAACUAUGAUUAAUAUUUUAGACUUUGUGGUAAGAUUUUGAGUAUUCCCUUUAAAUCAAUUAUAAGAUUAAUUUUCAGUA